CCCUUAGAUGUUCUGGGCCGCACGCGUGCUACACUGAUGCAUUCAACGAGUCUAAAACCUGGUCUGAUAGGGCUGGGUAAUCUUUUGAAAGUGCAUCGUGAUUGGGGUAGAUGAUUGCAAUUCUUCAUCUUCAACGAGGAAUGCCUAGUAAACGCAAGUCAUCAGCUUGCAUUGAUUACGUCCCUGCCCUUUGUACACACCGCCCGUCGCUCCUACCGAUUGAAUGAUCCGAUGAAUACCAUGGAUUGAGAGUACGAAUAGGUUCGCUUAUUUCUGCUGCUCGAGAAGUGGAGUAAAUCUUAUCAUUUAGAGGAAGGAGAAGUCGUAACA
rnacentral:rRNA from 1 species